rnacentral:tmRNA from 1 species
GGGGACGAUCGGUCUCGACGUGGGUUGCGAAGUCUUCAGGGCAUGCCGAGGUGCAGAGCUCCUCGUAAAUCCAACUGCAAAAACUAUAGUUGCCAACGACGACAACUACGCCUUAGCGGCCUAAACCCCGCUAACCGUUUCCCCCGUUCUUUCUGCGGGUGGGGAUGAAACGGUCAUAUACGCAGGAUCGUGACGAGAUGUGCCUGUUAUCCCGUCAUUAAACUCAAGCAGGCUCAGCUUGCGUCCAUCCUGUCUGUCGGAGGGUCGCAGGUGAAGUCAUAGACAAGACUACGCAUGUAGAACUGACUGGCCAAGGGCUUGCGGACGCGGGUUCGAUUCCCGCCGUCUCCACCA